ensembl:lncRNA
UAAUGUUAUGUAUGUGUGGAUUACGUUAAAGGCUGUUACUUUGAUCCUCGGUGGUCCCGCCGACACAGUUGUGCCAAUAUACAGAGGAAGUCUGACGUGAUGAAGCGCGCUGAAGUUCACAGCAUAUGAGAGGCGCCCGAGGGCCCUGUCAGCCCUGCUUUGAUUUGGAUCCGGAUCCUGAUCUCAGGGCUGGAAAUAGAGAUUAACAGAUGGCAGUGUAUCAGGCUGAGCGGCUGGGCCGGGCCUCACCCACGCCAGACCCGCUGCACUGUGAAAACACUGGGGGUUUCGCACCGUGCCCACACGAGAGCUGCAGGAUUGAAGCAGAAACAUUCCUCAUGUCACGGAAGGAUUCCAGAACUCCACAGCAAAGUUAUUUAUGUAUGAGCCGGCGUGAAGUCUUGCAUUAGUUCUGGGUGAAUAAGGAAGCAGAAUUGAAUCAGGUUGAGUGGAGGAGUGAAUAUCUGUCUCAUCAUCUCUCACUCCACUGAGUCAGAAAGCGACACAACUCCACACAACUCUCAAACACAAAC